rnacentral:rRNA from 1 species
CCUACGGGUGGCAGCAGUGGGGAAUAUUGCACAAUGGGGGAAACCCUGAUGCAGCGACGCCGCGUGAGCGAUGAAGUAUUUCGGUAUGUAAAGCUCUAUCAGCAGGGAAGAAAAUGACGGUACCUGACUAAGAAGCCCCGGCUAACUACGUGCCAGCAGCCGCGGUAAUACGUAGGGGGCAAGCGUUAUCCGGCUUUACUGGGUGUAAAGGGAGCGUAGACGGCUGUGCAAGCCAGAUGUGAAAGCCCGGGGCCCAACCCCGGGACUGCUCUUGGAACUGCGUGGCUGGAGUGCAGGAGGGGCAGGCGGAAUUCCUGGUGUAGCGGUGAAAUGCGUAGAUAUCAGGAGGAACACCGGUGGCGAAGGCGGCCUGCUGGACUGCAACUGACGUUGAGGCCCGAAAGCGUGGGGAGCAAACAGGAUUAGAUACCCUUGUAGUC